rfam:Haemonchus contortus, ISE/inbred ISE, WGS project CAVP01000000 data, contig: Hcontortus_contig_pathogens_Hcontortus_scaffold_22859
UUCCUGGUGGUCCAGUGGCUAAGACUCUACACUUCCAAUGCAAGGGACCAGGGUUCAAUCCCUGGUCAGGGAA